GAUGAACGCUGGCGGCGUGCCUAAUACAUGCAAGUCGAGCGAACGGACGAGAAGCUUGCUUUUCUGAUGUUAGCGGCGGACGGGUGAGUAACACGUGGAUAACCUACCUAUAAGACUGGGAUAACUUCGGGAAACCGGAGCUAAUACCGGAUAAUAUUUUGCACCGCAUGGUUCAAAGGUGAAAGACGGUCUUGCUGUCACUUCUAGAUGGAUCUGCGCUGCAUUAGCUAGUUGGUAAGGUCACGGCUUAUCAAGGCAACGAUGCAUAGCCGACGUGAGAGAGGGAUCGGCCACACUGGAGCUUAGACACGGUCCAGACUCCUACGAGAGGCAGCAGUAGGGAAUGUGCCGCAAUGGUCGAGAGCCUGGCGGAACAGCGCCGCGUGAGUGAUGAAGAUCUUCGGAUCGUAAAACUCUGUUAUGAGUGAAAAACAUAUGUGUAAGUAACUGUGCACAUCUUGACGGUACCUAAUCAGGAAGCCACGGCUAACUACGUG
rnacentral:rRNA from 1 species